rnacentral:rRNA from 1 species
GACGAACGCUGGCGGUGUGCUUCACACAUGCAAGUCGAACGAGGUAGCAAUACCUAGUGGCGGACGGGUGAGUAACGCGUGGGAAUCUGCCUUUAGAUGGGGGAUAACGGGUCGAAAGACUCGCUAAUACCGCAUAUGACGAAAGUUGAAAGGAGUAAUCCGUCUAAAGAUGAGCCCGCGUCCGAUUAGCUAGUUGGUAGAGUAAAAGCCUACCAAGGCGACGAUCGGUAGCUGGUCUGAGAGGAUGAUCAGCCACAAUGGGACUGAGACACGGCCCAUACUCCUACGGGAGGCAGCAGUGGGGAAUUUUACGCAAUGGGCGAAAGCCUGACGUAGCGACACCGCGUGAGCGAAGAAGCCCCUUGGGGUGUAAAGCUCUGUCAGCUGGAACGAAAAAAUAGACGGUACCAGCAGAGGAAGCAUCGGCUAACUACGUG